rnacentral:rRNA from 1 species
UACGUAGGGUGCAAGCGUUGUCCGGAAUUAUUGGGCGUAAAGAGCUCGUAGGCGGUUUGUUGCGUCGGCUGUGAAAACCUGCGGCUCAACCGUGUGGUCUGCAGUCGAUACGGGCAGGCUGGAGUUCGGUAGGGGAGACUGGAAUUCCUGGUGUAGCGGUGAAAUGCGCAGAUAUCAGGAGGAACACCGGUGGCGAAGGCGGGUCUCUGGGCCGAUACUGACGCUGAGGUGCGAAAGCGUGGGGAGCAAACAGG